UUUAUUUUCUGUAAUAAACUCUCUCUCUAUUCUAGAGAGUUCCAAAAGCUCCUCCUUCUCUCUAGUUUCUCUCUCUAUAUUUUCCAUGAUUUCUCGGUAUAAUAUAAAUAUUCACAUGGUAUCAGAGCCUAGACGACGAUCCGACUGUGUUUAUCUGUAUCUCGUUGUCUUGGAUGAAGUCUGCUUCGAGAUUUUUGGGGGUGUUUCUGAGACCUUAUGGUCGAUGAUGAUUUCGACCUAAAUCGGAUGAUUUUCUGAGAUUUUCUUUGUGAUAUUUGAGUAUAUAUUCUCCACUCGAACGUUCUGGGAGGUUUUCUGAUGAUUUUUGGGUGAUUUUUCUGUGACCUAUCGGCUUCUAAGGUUUCUGGUGGUUUAACCUAGAGUUUUACUGCUUUCCGGUGGCUCGAUUCUCACUUAGUGGAUGUUUUGGGUGCUUUUCCGAAAUCACUAACCACACUUCCAGUAAGGAUUUUGACGGUUACACCUAGGAUUUUGUACCUAGGGUUUUCUCUGUUGUUUGAAGGCCGAUCUUCUCCGGUCGCGAAGAAGGAGGAUAACUCUGUCCUUAUCUUGAGUAUUCUAUGUUUUGUGUGUGAUUAUCUAACUCCGUAUGUGAGUAUUUGGUUUUAUGUGUGAAUAUCUGGUUUGGCUGUACUCUGUUUGUUGAAAUUUUUUAAGCCGGUUCAUUGAUUAUGGCUUCUAAUACAAAUACUGGUACCUCCUCCUCUGUAGACUCUUCUAGCCCCCUUUUUGUAUAUUCCUCUGAUGUCCAUGGGGUCUCUCUUGUU
rnacentral:lncRNA from 1 species